GCAGUGGUGGUUCAGUGGUAGAAUUCUCGCCUUCCAUGAGGAGACCUGGGUUUGAUUCCCGGCCAAUCCA
rnacentral:tRNA from 1 species